UGUGUACAAUUAGCAAUCUGUCAGUGCAUAGGUGGGGCAGGUCACAGGGAAGCAAUGCUUGUAACAGCUUUUAUCUACAGCUUGAUUUAAUACCUGCCUGCCGAAGAUGGGCAUGUAAAUCAUAAAGCCAGCUCAGGGCACGCAGAUGGACAAGUUGAGUAAAGCAAGCAUAAACCUCUGGUUUGUCUGUGUUAAUGUGCAGUUAAAUCUGUGGGACCCGGAAGGAUGAGGUGCUUUCCAUCCCGUGGAUGGAGCAUGGGGAAAGCUGUGGUACAGUGCUGGAGAGCAGCGACAGCCCAUCGGUUCCGGCAGAGCUGCAGUGGAGAAGGUCCGUCUAACAAUGGCCCCUUCUUGGUCAGUGUAUCUGUUCCCUGUGUGUCUUGGAGUCAUGUCAGUGAAGCAAACAGAUUGGGAACAUAUUUGUACUCCCCACAGCAGUACAGAAGCCAACGCAGGCAGAGGAGUGCAAGCUGGGCUCUUUUCUGCUCCCUGCCUCAGUGCCAAGUUUCCAGCUCUGCUCCAGACCUGUGGCCGAGCCCUGCUUUGGCAGGGGUGAAGGGAGAGGACGGGCAGGGUCAGGAAAUGCUCUGCUUCAGCUCACGUUUGUAGAAGUUGGCAGCUGGCUACGAAAGAGGGGAGCUAGAUUUAACUUGUAAACAGUUACAUGCCACCUCUGAAAGCCCCCACAAGAGAUUAAAUCUGGCACUGUGCAGCCUCGUCCUCCUCCCCAGCCAUGCUUCAACAAAUGAGACCAAGAACUGCAUUCACCUGGACAACCCACAGAUGCUGCAAGAGGGCUUGUCCCAGGGGCCAGAGCUACUUUCAGGAAGCUUCCCCAAGCCCAGCAGGAGUCCCAGGAGCCCAGGAUUUCUCUCCUGACCUUCAUGUACGCAUUCCACUACAUGGGCACUUAACCUUUGAGGCUCCUUUGAAAAUCCCAGCCACAGCGUUUUACGGAUGAGUAUGUUUCCCCUAACAUCUGCCCCCGUAUCCGAUGCUGCCAGAGCCUCUCUCUCUCCUGGCUCUGCUCCCAGCUGCAGGAUGGACAAUAGGCAUCUGAAUGCAGGCUCCGCUUCCCCUCCCUCACAGCCCGAGGGAGAUGGCACAUCAGAGCCAAGACGGGGCUGAGAGCACGGCAUGCCAGCGAGCGACAAAUCACUCUGAUCAUGGCUUGCCUUUUCUUUCCCUUCCAGUGUAGCUGAACCCCUGGGGGUUAUGGCUGUUACAGGCCAUGCAGGCCAGCGCUGGGCACUAAAUCCUGGCAGAGUCCAGCCAGCAAAACUGAAGGGGUCUUUCCUCAGCACACCACUGCUGGAGCCAGUCCGAUCCCUCUGUGAGUGCUGCUGGAAGCGACUAACCUCCUGUGCUCCCAACCCUGCUGGCCACAGCGCUGCAGAAUGGAGCUCUCGUGUACCCCUCUGCCAUGCCGGCUCACCUGGAAACGCCGGCAGCCUCUUGGAUUUCCCCUUGCUCACUCUAAACAGCAUCUAGCUGCAGUUAACUGACCCAGGCAGUGCACGUGGCACAGAGAGGAGCGGUUCCACCUGCAGGAGGUUUGACUGGGGUUGAGUGAGAGCUGGCUCGGAUCCUCUUAAGGAGCCAUUGUCCCAUCUUUCUAGAAAUAGCUCUGCUUCUCACAUCUUGGAGCUGUUCAGCCUGUUUGGCACCGUCUCUACUGCUGCAGAGACAGACAACAACAACAGAGAGUGAGAAAAACCUGUCUAGACACCAUUUACCUUCCAUCGGCUCCCACUGCCGCUUCAAACAAACCUGAAAACUGGCCAGGUAAUAAUCCCUGGCUCUCCUAAGCCUGUUCCAGCCAGAGGGCAGUCAGGACCAUCCUAUCACGCUUCAGAGCUCAUCUUUAAUCCAAUCUUUUCUGAGAACAGGAAGAGAAGUACAGGAACAUCAACGGAGUUACCUGGCCUCGGACUACUCAAGUGGGGGCUAUGUCCUUUCUGCUCAGCAUCCAGGUGCAAAGAGAAAUCUCAUCUGUCUUCUAACAGCAAGCUGCAAACAUCUAGCACCUUUGAAAAGCAUCCAUACAAGGCAACCCUCUCUGCAAUACUCCCCGAGCCUGGGUACAAGUGCCGCUGGAGACAGCAGUCAGUGACUGCACAGGCUCUCUCUUCUCACUACUGUACAGCACAUGGCAUACGGCUUGCCAGCAUACUGGAUUCAUCUGAAAUUGGCUAAGGCAGAGUGCUAUGCUCCAAAAAGCCACUGAAGGGCAAUCCAAAUGCUCUGCUGCUGAGCAGCCAUGGACUGUUUCAGACACGGUUCUACACUUGAAAAGGGGUCGCAACACGAGGGCACAGUUAUCCAGCUUUGCAGUCCUAAAAGCCACAGUCAGGACUGGGGUCUUCACCGCACCAGGUACUGUUUUGAAACACUCUGAAGAGACCUGAAACUUCAUGUUUCAUUUCUCCAAAGGGCAGCUAGUUACAGCGAGCUCCAUGCACAAGGCACAGGAUGAUUGUUCCAUGCACCUCAUCCAAACACCAUGGUGGGCACUUUCCCAGGACUGGGAACAGCCAUUUUGUAGUAAGCCAGCCAGGCCAACUGGCAUUUUAUUUGCAGUCCAACUUGUUUUUGCACCUGUUCAGAUCUUGGAUUCCUUAUCUUUCCAAAGCCAUACACACAAAUGCUAUGCAAGCUUUGCUACAACACAAAGAUGAAGAAUAUCAUCCUAUGACACCAAAGGAAAUUGAGGUCACCAAGAGCUACAAGUAACUUCCCCACCAUGAGGCAGCAAGGAGUGGGACAAGGUCACAGAAGCUCAGGGUAAAUGCUCAAGACACCUUGAAAUCAGAGGGGCAGAAGCAUGAAAGGAGCUGCAAAUGUUUUUAGGUCACUUGAGCACAAGUCACUUGAAGUCACUGCUUUGGGGAAGUACUUGGCACAAUCAUCCAGUGCUGGCCCUAUGCAGCCACCACAACGGCAACAUCUAGCUCAUUAUUUUAAUAAGGGUCCUUUGAAAUACCUUCAGUGUGAGAGACAGCUAAGAAAAUCCACUCUGGCUUUAUUCUGUCUCAGGCAGAAGCAGUCUUUAUUUAGCAAACUGCUGCUAACAGCUCUGUCUCAUUAGUUGAUGUUUAGGGAACCAGGCUGCAAUUGUUCUGAAGUCUGGUGUUGCAGAAAGAGCCUUGAUAAUGAGGUCUAAAGGAGACAAUUCCUCCUGACAGGCCCACAAUGACCUAGAAAUCCUACUUAAUUCCCUGUCAGUGAGAAGUGCUGAGUAACAGCGAGGCACAGAGGAACUGGGGGCUGAUUUGAGAGGGAGGCUGUGGCCUCUGUUCACACUUUGGGCUGUGAUGCAAGAGCUCGAGGGUGGAAAAGCCAGCACUGCUCAGCCAUGCAGCAGCUCCCCAGACAAAGCAGAUGGGAGGCCUGCCAGGCAGAUAAACAGGGAUUUGCUAUGGGAAGGUUUGUGGCCUCAUCUUUAAAAGACUUGCCACCAUGUAGCACAUGCACAGUGCUGGAAGUGAAAAUCGCUAUGCGUAACACAACAGUAGAAACAGGAUUUGGCCCACUGAAACAGCCUGGCUCUAACUAGGGCUCCUUUGAUGCCCUCUCAGCUGCAGCACCCAGAUACGGUCUUCUCUGUGCAGCAGGGAUUGUCUGCUCUGGAUCAUGCUUGCUCAUAAACUGAGCUGGAAACCCUGCCGAAGACUAAAAGACUCUCACUCAAUUAGCUCAACUUCUGCAAUGUCCCCAGGCCUAGCAUGCCCAACAGCCCACAAACUUCAUCUGCACGGCUACCAGCGCUAUCAACAGACUGCGAUAGGUAUUACCAUGAGGAAGCAUCUCCUAGCCUCUAUCAAGCUCACAUGCUGUCUCCUCUCAGGUGAAUGUGGGAUGAGCAGCAGCUCCCUGUGCUCCACCAGGCAAUGCGCACACCCUGAAAAAGCUGUUAAGCUGUUUGACCCAUUCUGUGCCAACCACUUUUCCCUAUUUCCUUGGAGGAAAAAGCAGCAGGUUGGCACAGGCUAGCACCACAGGCAUUCCACAGCCAGCAUGUGUGCCAUGGUGAGAAACCUCUGGGAUUGAUGGCCCAGAGCCAACCAGGCCAGAAGAUGAGGUGCAGGGACUCAGCUGGAAUGUGGGCCGGAUACAGCUGACCUUGAAGCCCAUCCCCAAUAAGGACCCUUACCAAAGCAUGUGCUUGCCACCUGUUUCAGCCAGCAGACAAAGGACUAAACCAGGAAUUCUGGAAUUGAAUGCACAGUCUGUUAAAGAGUGGUCUAAAGACUUCCAGGCCACGUGAUGCUGUAGCUGAUGUAAUGCUCUCUGCAGACUCAAUGAAGAGGAAUGCAUCUUUGCCCAUCAUGUGCAAGACUGCUACUCCCAUACUGCAGAUGCAGCCCUGUUUAAAGUACAGCUCAAAUCCACAAAGAACUGCUAUAAAAAAAAGAACUGUGGAAAUAAAAUCACCAGCCAAAACAGUGUCUAGAAACAAUCUUAAAGUAACUAAUGAUUUGGGGAGUCUUCAUCUUUGAAAGCCCAGUCUGAGAUGCCACAAAGCAGCGUGAUCUCAAAAGAUGUCAAACAUCUGCCCCCCCGGAUCAGCUCCCUUUUAAAGCAUUUCUAGCAGUGCAUCCAAAUCACUGGCCGCUUUGGACUAUCUUGGCUCUACUUUCUCUUAGCGGAUUCCAGGUCACGUCUGCUCUUUAUCUCUGUUUUCCAGCUGCCGGUUCCAGAAUCUGACCUAACAACUCAUGCCGAGUCCCUUGGAUGUCAGCACCAGAAGAAAGAGUCUGAAGUGGAGAACUUAGCUCACUCCACAUCUCUGCAUGGGCCCUUCUGGCACACAGAGAGGAUCUGCUGCAGAGACAUGAGGAAAAGACAUAUGCUGAAAAAGGAAGGACCAGCUUUAUUUUACCAGCCUGUGUUCCCACUGCAGCUGUGCUUUAAAGACUGCCUUGCAAAGUAGGAAUUAAAUCCAAAGGUGCCUAUGCAUCUUCCUUGCUGUCAUCCCCUUAUCAGUUAUCUCCAGCAUGCUCUGAGCCAGGAGAUGAAAGGAUCGUAACACUUAUCUUGCCACUUAAGAACAUGCUUAACAGCUUGCUGCUAAAGAGGAGGACACUCAAGCCUUGGGAAGCGGCUGUAAAUUCUGCAAAUGGGUUCCCUGGCAUUUCUUUGAAAGGGAUAUUGCUUCUCAAUGAGGGAUACAGAUAUGGAAAGGAAACCAGGGAGGGAGAGAAGGAGAAAAGGCUUUGGAGCAAAGACAGACUUUCCCUUGUGUCAAGAACAUGAAGCUGAGUGACAGAUGUGAGACGUAUGGCAUGUGUCUCUCAGAAGUGACCGAGGAUGAGCCAGGAAUUGAAAAAUUCUUGGGAGACAUUUAAGCAGCCAGACUUAUGACAUGUUUGUCGCUAGACCACAAGAAGCUCCAAAAACAUGCUCUCCGAGAGACCGUGCAGUGUUACAGCCAAGAAUGUUAGUGAUCCCCUUACAUGCUGCGGGCAGAACUGCUGCAUGCAACCCAGCUCCAGCUCCAGCUCCAGCAGUUGAAGCCAGGUCACUACACAAGUCCUCUGUGCCUCUCCCAGAGGGCCAUCCUGCCUGAACCAGCCUCUCUCUGUAAAGACUGAAAUACACAUGGGUUGUGAGACCACGUCACGACAAGUCUUCUGCCUCAUCUCCGGAUAUGACCCUCAUCUCCAGCUCUUUGUAGAACAACUUGUUAUCGUGGUGAAUCUCCCCUUGGCUGGGUCCAACUUGCCUUCGUUUACCCUUAGGAGCUGAGUCGAACUGCCAAAACUGCCAAACUGAGUCUGUUCCAAAUAUCUGAAAAAAAAAAAGACCUCAGAGGAUCUAGGAGCCUGCAGCAGAACGCCACGAGCCUCCCCCCCUACGGAGGAGAACAAUUGCUAUUGUUGACCACCAGCGGGCUGCUGGCAGGCUAUGAGCACGCCGGGAAAGGCUCCUGAGUCCUCCCAUGCGUACAGAGCACAAGUGUCCUCGAAUCUGGCAUCCUCUGUGCCCACGGCAAUGCCCCAGUGAUCCAGCACUGCAGACUUAUUAGCCCUGGCCCUAGCUCAGCUGUUGACACGGAGAACUGGAGAAGCAGUUGGAAACUGGGAGAGGAGGGCACUGGAGCGCCUUAGAAGCUGUUGCCAGCCAAAAGAGCCAAGACUUCAAAGGGCUUAUCUUGCCCUGCGUGGGAGAGCACGCAGUGCCUGCUGGCGAGGACAGCUGUUUGUCGGCCCAGCCCUUCAGAGGAUUUCUGAUAGAAGAGGAGAGGAGUUAGUACCUGGUUUAAUCUCCCCUCCAGCACACACAAGGCUGCUUUGGCAAGCAGAGUGCUGCACUGCCCUGUUUUUUAUGGGAUGCUGAACACUGGCCAAAGCAAAGGAAAACACCAGAUACAUACGGACACUCACUGACUCAAACAGCGAGCUCUGCUGGAGGGAGAACCCAUGAGACUCAGGAGGCGAUUACAGGGCGCUCUGGCUUUCAUCUUCAGAUCAUCAGUUCAAAGAAGCAGCAAGAACUACAGGACUCUGCAACACCUUCCCUGCCAUUAACUGUGUAAGCUGCCGGAAAUCAUUCAAGAGGGUGUUUGCAGCGAAAGCAUCUCAGGAGGAAGUCCAUUAGCAGGCAGCAAUCUCCUUAAUGGAUCCUUGGGGUAAGUAGUAGACACUCCGCCUUGCCUAUGGACACUUAGUUUUUUCCACUGCUGUGAUUCAAGGGCUGCUCGUGCAGCUAGUACCAUCCAAUUCUCUAAGCAAUGCUCCUAAUCUUUAUGGCAGCCCAACAGUGCGAUGAAUUCAUCUUUGGGUAGCUUUCAUUGAAUGAGGACAUAAAUUGGUUUAGCGAGAUAGAUUCUUUGUACAGCACCUAGCAAAGAAAGACACUGAUCCACAAAGAGGAGCCAUGCACAGUACUGUAAUGCAGGUAAAAGCAACAAUAGCUAUCGAAACAGAAUCAAAGCCUUUGUCUUCCGAGGAUAGCUAGCAUCCUAGCAAAACAAAUAAAUUGUGUCUGUGACUGAUCUUGGCCUAAAAGUUCUAGCAGAGCCUUGUGCAGACAAAAUCGUUAAGUCCUCAGCUGUGCAAUCGACUCCACUUGAGCAGGCCUGAGACAGCACACAGCCGCCCUGGAGAGAUGGGAAGUGGCAGGAAUCUUCCUGGUGGGAAUGAAAAGCAGCACUGCUAUGCACAGUGCUAUUGGCCCUGUUAAAAGGUAACCUUGGUUUCCCAAAACAGCUCUUGCUUAUAGCAUUGUUUGCCAUUCUUAUUCUUUAUUGCUAAUGAAACAAAAAUUCUGACUUACUUUGGAUAUGUAGAAUAUUAUGGGUCCCCGUGCAGCAACCACUAAAGGAUUUCAGGAUAAACUAUUGUAACAUUGUUAUGCAUCAUGAGACAUACUGGACAAGACUGUCCAAAAUGACAGUGAGUUAGGUGUUUCAGCUGAGGGGUGAAAGUCAAACAGAAACACUUUGAAAGGACCUGAAUUUUUGGAAUCAUUACGCUUCCACUUUCUGAAAAACAAAUUUUAAAACAGAGUGCACUAAAUUACAUCCCACCUGUAAAAUGUUGGCCAUUUACAUAAGGAAUUGCCUGAAAGUUUAUUUAGGCAGGGAUUUUCAAAAGAGGCUCUGGGAGUUAGGAACACAGCCUAGUAAUGGGCACAAAUCCCCUUAGAUUUCAGUGGAUUUCUCUAGGUCUGCAGAAAAUCUCACCCAGGUUACCCAAAUAUAUUUUUCAUAGCGUUAUUACAAAUCUUGAAAUACUGUCAAAUAUUGUCAAAUAUUACCUUUUAGCCACAUGUCAGAGAGAAAGCACAUCUCAAGUUUUUAAAGCUCAGUGGCUUCAGAUGAGCCAGAUGUGCCCAAAUAAAUUAAGAGGACUCUUAAACACGCGAUGAUCUCACAUUUGCGUUGUAAUAAUCAGGUACAUUGAUGGGAGUAGGUUGGAGAGUGUUCCGGCUUUAAUUCUGAAAUCCCUGGGAUUUAUGACUUAAAAACACAAGAAAACCUUGGGCAUUAUCUGAACACAAUUUCAUUUCAUCUACUUCAUCUAUUACUUUGCUGAAACCUUCAUUUCCCCUUGAGCUUGUAACUGACUCUGUGUUAAGCCCUGUGCGGGGCACUACAAACCUCUCAUGUAUGGGUAUGUAGUGGGGGUGUACCUUACCCCAUAUAUUGUAUUAUUUAUACUGAGAAGUGAUUCUUGCAUCACAGAACAAUUCCUAUUAAUAUUUGAGCUUAUCUCAAGUACCUGUGGGCUGUCAGGUUACAGCAUGUACAUGACUGGUUUUCUGUUUAACUAGUUAAUGCCAGCUUGGUGUUGAUUGGACUCCCAUCGAUGGCUCUCACCAGUUUGCAGGUUAGCUCAUGGGAAUCCAACCCAACUGCUCUCUCAGCUGCCAGUGAAAAUGCAGAAGUGUUUUGGAUUUUUUUUUUGCCAACUCCCUUUUAUAAAAAUUUCUUCCUGCAUCUGUUGGGGGUUUUUUCCUACAAGUUGUGUGGUUUAUCCACAGUUUAUCAACACCAAAACCAAUUUACUUCAGUACCCAAGGCAGCAGAGAAGUAGUUUUGACAAGAUACUCCAGAACUGCACACCCUCUCAAGAGCUGGAUCUUUGCAUUUCAGUGGGCUUUUCCCCUAAGAAAUGUGAAGGCUUGGCUUAGGAUGCUGCUCUAAUAAGGACUGGGCACCAGCUCAAUUAUGCAGCUGUCUUACUGUUUUUGCACUUCCAAGCUGUGUGUUAAACAGCUGAGCUUCAUCAGAGGAGCCACACAAAGCUUUCUCACAGCAUGAAAUGCAGCAAGGCAAUCAAAGUGCUGAGGAAGAAGUGAUAACACAACCUCAGCUGACCGUUCUUGUGCGUGAGACAUCUUUAAUAUACACCUUCCUCAAAGUUUGUCCCUAGAGGAAGCCUGCUUGACCUCCGCUUAUCUAAAGUGAGAAGCAGAAGUUUUCAGGAGUCAGUCAUCCUUGAGGCCAACAUUCAGGUGAAGUUGGUAAGUCAAUGGUAAGUCACGGGAAAAUGAAUUCAAGUCUCCAGACAAUGCCUCUAUCUCAAGUUAAUACUGAGGAGGGUUAGCACUCUGGAGGGUAUUAAGAAAACACAGACCUGAGGUUUCCAUGCAAAAAAAAAUCAACCUGUUUGAUUUUAUUGUCUAUUUUUGGUUUCUGGCACUGAAAACUCCCCAUUUCCAGCAUGAGAGAAUGACGACCGCAACCCAACCAGUAUUUCCUCUGCCGCAAGCACAGCUAUUGACAGAAUUGUACCCACACAGCAAUCCAGCCCCCUUGGGUGAAAAUGAAGGCUGUGUCCAGAACACUCAUUAGCGCAAUUACAACCAUUAAUUGGUUCCUAGGCCGCGUCCUGACUCGGCGGAGGAAUGGGUUCCACUGUGUGGCACACGCCCUUACUCCUCCACUGCAUGGAAGUGACACUUAGUGGGGGAAUUUGGGUUUUGAUCUUGUGUCUUACAAAAACAAGAUACUCCCUAAGGGUUCAGAGAGAAGGCAAAUAGCCUUUAUCAAGUGGAAGGAGAUGCUGCAGUUCAUAUUCUAGUUGAUAGAGAAGCCAGAUUGAGAACAUAAUUAUCCUAAUUAAUUUUAUAUCUUGAAUCUCUUUUUGUAUAAACAGCAGUUUCAAAGCAGGCCUCCAGCUUUUAUGCGCUGAGUAGUUCCUUUAUCCUGUUGAGGGGCAUGUUUGCAAUGAAUGUUCUUGUUUUAUAGAAAAGGACUUGCGAGAACUCAGGAUCCUGAAAAAAUACUCCUUGGUCUGUAGAAAUUUCUCCUGCACUAACUCCCUCCCACCACUUCAGGCCUGCUCUGCAAGGAGUUCAUGAACCUUCCUGCAUCAUCCUCCUCUGGAUCAUCCGGCUUGAUGCAAUCAACUGUGAAGCAUUAGCUCUAAAUAUACAACUGAGAGGCCAGUUCUGCUUCAACACACACUCAUCACAAAGAAUGACAAAGCAGAGAGCACAAUUUGCAAGAGAAACUUAACAAAGAAAUGACUACCUAAAUGAGCUGCAGAGAAAGCAAGAUUAAAUGGGGACUAACCAGUGUUUUAACCUUUGGAGCUGGCUAAAGAUAGGGGCAAACUGUAGGAGACUCAGAAAACAGGCCCACCCAUGGCCACCAUGUACACCAGGUUUUGUCCUCAUUUGUGAAGUUGAAUGCAAAAGUUCAUUCUGCUUUAUUUACUUGUUUAGGUGAUUUUUGGCAACUCGGCAUGUGUUCCUGGUGCAAAUCCUCAGUGUACUGGGCCAAGAGACACGGAAUUGAACUUUACAAGGAAAAUAAACAGUCGGUUGGCAUUAAACACACAGCGAGCAUCUGAAUCCAGACUUAGCACCUCGAUACUCCAAAAUCAAGCAUUCCCAAUUUCUCCUCCUGAAACCAUUCUGCUACAAACCGUGUUAACACAAGGGAGCAGACCGUGGAGUGCAUGGUGGCACCAUCUCCUCCUCCCAGGUGCGUGCUCCAUCCGGGUUUCCAAGUCAUCUUCUCACCCUUCCACUCAUUUUUUUGUAAAUAGUGCCCAAAUCCCACUUCACUGAAAGCCCGAAAGGCUCUGCAAGUUAUUUGGAGCCAGAGAAUUGUUUUGUUUUUUUUUCCUGAGAUAACCUGUUUGAAAUAUUUCAAUAAACUGCAAUCUUGAGUUAACGC